UGCAAGAAACAUUGUUGAAGAAGAAAUAAUUAGAGUAAAUGGCUUCCAGAUAGCCCAAAACAGUAAUUCGUCAUCCAGUAUUAACUUCAACAAGAGUCCUUUGCUGAGAUAUCCUAGAAAAGUGGACUAUAUUCUAGACUACUGAUAAGAAUAUGUACAUUGAAAAGUUUGAAGACAACAUAACUUCACUGCCAAAAUUGCCCUUCCAGGAAGUUAUCAGCAGAGCUAUUGGUAGUGUCUCCAGCACUAUAGCGGCAGUUAUUAAGAGGCUGAAAUCAGCAAUCCUGGCAGUCUGUCUGAUUAGCCAAUAGAAUAAUGAUUUGACCUGACUGCCAAGCACUGAGGAUUCCUAUCUGGGGCUCACCACAGAGGUCCUUCUGGGCAUCUGGUCAAGUGUGGCAUGAUGGAGUCUGGCAGGCUGUAUUUCCCUGGUCU
rnacentral:lncRNA from 1 species